GACAGAGGGUGCAAACGUUGCUCGGAAUUACUGGGCGUAAAGCGCGUGUAGGUGGACUGAUAAGUCAGACGUGAAAUCCCCGGGCUCAACCCGGGAACUGCGCUUGAAACUGCCAGUCUUGAGUGUUGGAGAGGAUCGUGGAAUUCCUGGUGUACAGGUGAAAUUGGUAGAUAUCAGGAGGAACACCGGUGGCGAAGGCGGCGAUCUGGACAACAACUGACACUGAGACGCGAAAGCGUGGGGAGCAAACAGG
rnacentral:rRNA from 1 species